CCAAACCAUAUUCAAAGUCACAGCACUGCAGAAUAUGGUUUUGUUCCACCAAGUUCAGGUCAGUUGGGUGGAAUCUUAUUAAUACUUCAAGGACACAUUUUCCAAACUUGAUGACUGCCUCUAACCUGAACUAAGUAUUUUUUUUACCAGCUUUGUGUUAAGAAAUUGUGAACGUGUUGGAUCUGCUCAUACAACCUCCCUCCAUGAUGAAUUUUAACUACUCAAUACUUGAAGGAUGGCUACUCAACUGAAUUCUAUUUAUUGGAGCACGAUUUGAGCUUUUCUUCCUUACCCAGGUAUAGUGCUAUAAAAUUUUCAGUCUAAAGAGUAUUUAUAACCCCAUAUGAAUUUUAAUGUCAGAUUCAGUUGAUUAGCAUGUGACCAUUAUUAUUUUCAGAUGGUAGCAUUUUGAAUCAUUGGAACAAUUGCAGGAGGAAGCUUUGCCAAAGCCUCCCUAUGCAAUACAUGGGCCUUUGGUUGCAAGUGAGAUUCGAGGAUUCUAUUUUCUCUUGGAAGACUUCAACUCAUUUUUUUUGAGUUUUGAACUUUGAGCUUUUACUUCCAAGCAUGUGCAAAGAAGAAAGAGAGCAACAACAAAGGUCCGCUUAUAGAAGUUUUAUAUGGAGUGAGACUCCCAUGAAAAAUAUUGUAGCUAUUGGUUUGUCAACCUUGAAGGUUAUAGUUCUGUUUCCCAUUGGAUCUUUAAGGAGUGCGUCUGUUGAAUC
rnacentral:lncRNA from 1 species